ACGGGAGGGAGAUUGAUUGGUGGCUUUACAACGGGGGGAACGGUAACGGGAGGGAGAUUGAUGGGUGGCUUUACAACAGGGGGAACGGUAACCGGAGGUUUGAUGACCGGGGGCUUAACGAUGACCGGAGGGGGUUUGAAGGGGGGCUUUACAACAGGGGGAACGGUAACCGGAGGUUUGAUGACCGGGGGCUUAACGAUGACCGGAGGGGGUUUGAAGGGGGGCUUAACGAUGACGGGUGGGUAUGUUUUCGGGGGUUUGUAUUUGGG
rnacentral:lncRNA from 1 species